rnacentral:rRNA from 1 species
UUACCGGCUAGAAACGACAGAGAUUCCUUCGGGCGCAGGUGCUGCAUGGCUGUCGUCAGCUCGUGUCGUGAGAUGUUGGGUUAAGUCCCGCAACGAGCGCAACCCUGUCUUUAUUGCCAUCAUAUGGGACUUUAAGAGACUACCGGCGUCAACCGGGGGAAGGUGGGGAUGACGUCAAGUCCUCAUGGCCUUGAUGCCGGGCUACACACGUACUACAAUGGGAUACAAGCGGCAUCGUGAGAUAAGCAAUCGCAAAAUCGCCUCAGUUCGGAUUGGAGGCUGCAACUCGCCUCCAUGAAGUUGGAAUCGCUAGUAAUCGCGAUCAGCAAGCGCGGUGAAUACGUUCCCGGGCCUUGUACACACCGCCCGUCACACCACGAAAGUUGGUGACCGAA